rnacentral:lncRNA from 1 species
AAACAAGCAUACAAAUCUUGUCUCGUCUUAUGUUUGGAACCUCAGCAUGCUCCAGCUCUCCGGCCUUUCAUGAACCUCUUCCAGUGCCUGGUGACUUCCUCCUGAGUCUCUCUCACACUCUUCUUAAGUGGUUUAUCACCCUGAGUUUCGUUGACCAUGGGUGUGACAUGGGCAGUUUUCGUGGAUACACGACUUGGAAGCGAGUCAAUUUCCUUCAAAACUUCCUCGAUGUGUGAGAUGAGUCUUUCCACCAAGCUACGGCUGAAAUCCUCCCUGACAACCACCCGAAGAACCGCCACAUUUUCAGCAUUAGCAGGCAUUGUAUAGGCCGGAACUAUCCACCCAAACUUUCUCAAACCCUCGGAUAUCUCAAACACGGUGUGUGCGCUGCUGUCCUUCAAAGAAAAGGCUACUAAGGGUACGCCAACAUCCUUGGAGAGAAUUUCAAAGCGCCCUGUUUUCUCUAAUCCUUCUCUUAGCGCUCUAGCAUUCCCCAUGCAAUUUUCCAUAAUGUUCUUGUAACCCUAGUUUACAGGACAAGAAAAGGACAUACCUUGAGACUUGAAAUAAAAGUAAAGGUAAUUUCCUGGACAAAUACAGGCCAAAUUGUACAUUUUAUUGAAUAUAUGAGCAGUCAGAAUCAUUUCAAAUCUAGCAAACACUAGUCAGUUUAAUAUCCAAAAAACAUGAGACAACAAGAAAAUUGAUCCCAUCACAACUGAUCGAUUUUGGUGCAUCAGUUCUCAACCUCAUUUUGUCAAUGUCUACCGGUAACAAACUAACUUUAACUGAUGAACUUUAACAAUAUGCCAUAUGAACACUUACAAAUUAACAGGAUUUCAUAGUACAUGCAAAGUGUCAUAAAAGUAGGAGGAAUGUAUCACAAAGAAACUUGAGAGUUUUUUAUGAUCAACACAACAAAAAGAUGGAAUUACCUCAAAGCCAAGCCGUAUAAACUGAUAAUAUUGAGCAAUUAUUUGACUGGAGCCUGCCAAAUAGGAAUGAUUGUCAAUUACAAAAAUACAACUACAAUGGUCGCAAAAAUAUCAAAUUUACAAGUCAUCUUCCAUUCAAUGGAACAACACAAUGUUCUUGUAACAGAUUACUUGACAGAUGCUCUUGUAAAACGAUAUAGGCCCAUUGGUGUGUCUUAGCUCAAACGAAAAACAGUAAGACCUCUAGAAGGUAGUACAGAAUAGUUUAGGUUGAAAUGCAGAUGGUUUGGGUUUCAUUUUAUGCAAUAUUUAAAAAAUAUAUAUAUAUAUUGAGAAUUUAGAGAUUUUUUUAAAAGCAAAAGACAAAUAGCCUUCAAAGCAAACAAUAAAUUUUUUAAAAAGGCAAGUUUUGAGGCUAAAGUCUAUCAAUUGAUAAACAGUGAGAAUAUAGUUAAUGACAUAAUGACUCUUGAUGACAUUAGUUUUGGCAUCACUUCUUAUGAAUUCUUAAAGCUCUAAUUUGAAUUUUCCAUUGAAAAACUCUUCAAACUUCCAUCCAUUUUUUUCAGUAAGUUAUCCUUAGUAUCUGCCCAAUCCUACAACUGUUAACAACCAAUACAGGGGAAAUGUCAUCAAACUAUUUGAAUUUUCCAUUGAAAAACUCUUCUAACUUCCCAUCCAUUUUUUUCAGUAAGUUAUCCUUAGUAAGUAUCUGCCCAAUCCUACAACUAUAACAACCAAUACAGGGGAAAUGUCAUCAAACUCUAAAGCAGCCACCAAAACAGAACGUAAACUUAACCCCCAAGUCCUAAAUCUUAAAACUUUAACCCUAAAAAGAUUCACUGUCCUCUAUGAUUAGCACAAACAGGAGAAAUAACACCCUAAUGAAAUGCUUGAAAACACAAAAGUUUACAAGAUUAUGGGUAAAUGUACACUAACGAGCUUUUGUUCUGGUUUAGGUAAGAUAUACUUAAAAAGUAUGACUUUAAAGUUUGAUAUAGUUUAAAAUUUAAAGUUUAGCUGUAAGAAUAGCCUUGAAUUGUGUGUUUAAAACUUUAAAAUCAUACUUAAAACUUACUUUCCUUCCUAAACCUUAACAAAUGGCCUUGCCCCCGAGCACGUGCCCCUUACCUUCAAUCAUUUUGUCUGUUCCAGCUUUUUAGCUGGGGAUUAGUGGUUGCGUUUGCAAGGCUAUGUUACCGCAUAAAUGUGAUACCACUCAUAGUGGUGGCAGGUUUGAGCUUUCAUUUUAAUAUUGAGGUGGCUGCAUGAUUUAGGGUGUGUGGAUUCCCACUUCUUUAUGCAUGCAUACACAUCUAAUCUGCAAUAAUUUAUAACUAAAGCAUCUAAAAAGAAUUUAAAAUCAUUGUCUGAUAAACACGAACAAGAAGUUAAAUAAAUUGCGUGUGCUCAACUUAAAACAUAUUUUAGCGUUAUAUAGUCAAAAACCAUAUCUUUAUUAUAAACAUGCCUUUUUGAAAAGAUUACACAAAUAAAAAAGCUUGUGAAAAUCACCAAUUGAUCUGUAUGCCAUGGAAAUUCUAGAAACAAGAUGCAAUAUCUACAUAAGUGCUUCACAUAUUAGAAAAUAAAAUCCGAGUUAUCUAGUAGCAAAAUUAUCCUUUAAACAUACUGUUUAUAUUUAUAAUGAUGAGAAAGCGUAAACUUAUGCACACAGGUAGAUGGAGAAAUGCUUAGUUGAUAUAUGAAAUGAACAUAUGCGCAGACAUGUAUGUGUAUUACCUUUUGAGAAGUUGAGGGUGAAAGUCGGUUGAUCAGAUCCAAGGUAGUUGAUGUGAAAGACAAGUUCAUCCGGCAAGUCAUCUUUGGUCCUCCAGACAACCCAGCCAACACCUGCAUAUACAAGGCCGUACUUGUGACCACUGACAUUAAUGCUCUUCACCAGUGGCAAACGGAAAUCCCAUUCAAGGUCUGGAUAGAGAAAAGGAGCAAUAAAUCCGCCGCUAGCAGCAUCAACAUGAAUGGGGGU